AUUGAACGCUGGCGGCAGGCCUAACACAUGCAAGUCGGACGGUAGCACAGAGGAGCUUGCUCCUCGGGUGACGAGUGGCGGACGGGUGAGUAAUGUCUGGGGAUCUGCCCGAUAGAGGGGGAUAACCACUGGAAACGGUGGCUAAUACCGCAUAACGUCGCAAGACCAAAGAGGGGGACCUUCGGGCCUCUCACUAUCGGCGUAACCCAGAUGGGAUUAGCUAGUAGGCGGGGUAACGGCCCACCUAGGCGACGACCCCUAGCUGGUCUGAGAGGAUGACCAGCCACACUGGAACUGAGACACGGUCCAGACUCCUACGGGAGGCAGCAGUGGGGAAUAUUGCACAAUGGGCGCAAGCCUGAUGCAGCCAUGCCGCGUGUAUGAAGAAGGCCUUCGGGUUGUAAAGUACUUUCAGCGGGGAGGAAGGCGAUGUGGUUAAUAACCGCGUCGAUUGACGUUACCCGCAGAAGAAGCACCGGCUAACUCCGUGCCAGCCGCCGCAGUAA
rnacentral:rRNA from 1 species